rnacentral:rRNA from 1 species
CGCGUAGGCGGACUCUUAAGUCGGGGGUGAAAGCCCAGGGCUCAACCCUGGAAUUGCCUUCGAUACUGGGAGUCUUGAGUUCGGAAGAGGUUGGUGGAACUGCGAGUGUAGAGGUGAAAUUCGUAGAUAUUCGCAAGAACACCGGUGGCGAAGGCGGCCAACUGGUCCGAUACUGACGCUGAGGCGCGAAAGCGUGGGGAGCAAACA